rnacentral:rRNA from 1 species
UAGGGAAUCUUCCACAAUGGACGCAAGUCUGAUGGAGCAACGCCGCGUGAGUGAAGAAGGUUUUCGGACCGUAAAGCUCUGUUGUUGGUGAAGAAGGAUAGAGGUAGUAACUGGCCUUUAUUUGACGGUAAUCAACCAGAAAGUCACGGCUAACUACGUGCCAGCAGCCGCGGUAAUACGUAGGUGGCAAGCGUUGUCCGGAUUUAUUGGGCGUAAAAGCGAGCGCAGGCGGAAUGAAUAAGUCUGAUGUGAAAGCCCUCGGCUUAACCGAGGAAUUGCAUUGGAAACUGUUUUCUUGAGUGCAGAAGAGGAGAGUAGAACUCCAUGUGUAGCGGUGGAAUGCGUAGAUAUAUGGAAGAAUACCAGUGGCGAAGGCGGCUCUCUGGUCUGCAACUGACGCUGAGGCUCGAAAGCAUGGGUAGCGAACAGGAUUAGAUACCCUGGUAGUCCAUGCCGUAAACGAUGAGUGCUAAGUGUUGGGAGGCUUCCGCCUCUCAGUGCUGCAGCUAACGCAUUAAGCACUCCGCCUGGGGGAGUACGACCGCAAGGUUGAAAC